GACGAACGCUGGCGGCGUGCUUAACACAUGCAAGUCGAACGGAAAGGCCCUGCUUGCAGGGUGCUCGAGUGGCGAACGGGUGAGUAACACGUGGGUGAUCUGCCCCUUACUUUGGGAUAAGCCUGGGAAACUGGGUCUAAUACUGGAUAGGACCAUGCUGUAGGUGGUGUGGUGGAAAGAUUAGUUUCGGUAAGGGAUGAGCUCGCGGCCUAUCAGCUUGUUGGUGGGGUAAUGGCCUACCAAGGCGUCGACGGGUAGCCGGCCUGAGAGGGUGGACGGCCACAUUGGGACUGCGAUACGGCCCAGACGCCUACGGGAGGCAGCAGUGGGGAAUAUUGCACAAUGGGCGCAAGCCUGAUGCAGCGACGCCGCGUGGGGGAUGACGGCCUUCGGGUUGUAAACUCCUUUCAGCCAUGACGAAGCCCUUGUGGUGACGGUAGUGGUAGAAGAAGCACCGGCUAACUACGUG
rnacentral:rRNA from 1 species